GUAUGUUAGCUCACCUAAUGGUUUCUGAAUAUAGGGUAAUAGGGGCCGCACAAUAGAUACGACUUUAGAACCUUUCCCUUUAUACCUCAAUCUACUUAGGCGAAACCCUCGUAUUCUCUCUUAGCCUAGGUUUGAAGCGAAGUGAGUGACUCUUGGCUGAGAGAGCAUAGUUGCAUGCUUGACCCACCUGACUGUCUAACCCGGAUUGAUCCAGGGAAUAAAAGAAGCCCAAUCCAC
rnacentral:lncRNA from 1 species